AUGGGCCCUUCUCAGGGCACAGCGCUCCCAUCCUGUCUCAAGACUGAACAUGAGGGGAAAGAAGCACAAGGAAGCCCAAGGGGAUGGGAUCUGGGAGGCAGCACAGGAGGAGACAGCAUUGACUACUCCAGCACCUCCAUGGGUUUCACUGAAUGCUUCUCUAAAGCAAACAUCUUCCAGUAUGGGUCAUGGUCCCUUCCUACAGCCAAUGGCCCCAAGAGCCCUCAUCCCUCAGGUGUGUUUGAGGCUUUGCACCAUCCCAACGAGCCCCAGGGUCAUGGAGGGAGGCAGCAGAGAAGCCUUUGGAACUCACCUGAGAAGGUCAGUGAGGUGAGGCAGCUCUGCCAUAGCCACCUCCUCGUGCUCAGAGCAGAUGGAGAUGGGGGCUUGCUCACUGGUACUGAGAGCCAUGCUGGGGAUCCACAGGAUCCCAGCCAACACAAGAUGAAAAGGACUUUGUGGCUCCAAAAUGCAUGUACAUCAGUCAGCUUUCCCAAGCUGCCGGACACCACUGGAGCAGCAGUCAGCAGGAGGUGACACCACACACCUCAAAGAGCACUCAGGAGAUCAGCAGAUGCUCCCUGGUCCUGUUCCCAUCAGGCUCCUGCAUGUCCCCAGUCAGCAAAGCCCCUGAGCAUGGGUCUGGAUCCUCCCAUCUCUGCAGGGACAGCCCCAAUGCUGCCCAAGUGCUUUGCUGAUUUGGUCUAGGACACAAAGCACCAAGACUUUUCACAGAGCCAGGCUCCCUGUCCCCAGCACUCUGCUGUCACCCAGCAUAAGCUGCAAAUGAGUAAAGGCUCCUGCAGCCCAUUCAGUGACCUCUUUCCUUCUUACCUAUCAACAGUGCUUCCACCACCUCCUCCAUGACCUGCCCCACAUCAGCUUUAGAAGCACAGGAUCAACUGGAACAUCCCCCACCUCUUGCCAGCCCUUCUCUGCCCAUGCUGGGUGUUCUCUGACUCCAAAGGGAACACUUCCCCACAGCCAUGGUCAGGACAAUGCAUGGCACCCUGGGGCAGAGCACAGCAGUGAGAAACCCUGCUGGGACCUCAGUGCCCAACAAACAGGUGACAGCAAAGCCUUCCUCUUCUCCUCCUCCUCAGCAUAAAGCCAGCCAUAUUAUUUGUAAAUGAAACCAAAGACCAGCUCGACUUCAACAUCUUCAAUAAGCACUAAGCAACACCACAGAGCAUCACCAAAACAACCACAACCCUCACUGGUCCCCUCUGGUCCCCCCAAACCAGGACAGGGCAACGGAUGCCAGCACCACAAGGAGAAGUGAAGCUUGGGAGAGCAAAGCAGGCAACAAACUGGAGACUGGGACAUGAUCAUCCCCAGGCUGAACAUGGUCCUGCUCCUGCUUUAGCUCUGAACCUUGCAGUGGGACCAACCUGGAGCUCACCCAUCCCUCAGGGGUUUGUUCAGAUUGUUAAGGCACUAUUCUGGGCCGAUUCUGCCGAGAAACAGAAGCGUCCUGCUCCUCUGUCCCAGGCUCCCCUCCUGCUGGUCCCAAAGGUACCUGAGCUCUCCCAGGAUCAGCUCCCCAGCUCCAGAGCAUCCCCAGGAGCCCAGCUCCUGCUGGGAUUAGCAGAAAGGGCACGCCAGAACCCAGCUCCCUUAGGGCACCCCGGAACUGAACCGACAGCGAGCUGCAGAUGCCCUGAGAUGCAAGGUGGGUGUUUGUGCUUUUGCCUGUGGAGGAGGAAAACCUGCUGUAGGGAAGGAAGACGCGUUGUGGGCUGCUAACGAGGGCAUGCUCAUGGCUUUCCAAUGGGGACACCUGCUCGCUCGCCACAGGCCACUGGGGUUGGCAGUGGGGGGGCUCCCCUGGGGUGCCUACCUUCCAACCCCGUGAGUGAGGAGCCUGACUUGAAAGACCAGCUUUACAGUACAGGGAUUCAAGCACCACUAACUAGAAUUCAGCUUUGAAAUAUUGAUGCACCGGCCAGCAAGCUCAAGCCCGGAUAUCCUGCUCCUCCCAGCCUCACCAGCAUCCCAGCAGGAAGGUGAUGCCAGCAUGUGGGAAGAUGAAACUAAGAGUGACACCUUUUACCUACACCCUUACGGACGGACGGCUGAUCCCCCCAACACCCACAUUCCUCAGGGGGAUGCUUCCUCCUGCUCCCCCUCUCUGCAGAGAAUGACGGGUGAGAAAAAGGAAUAAAAACCCAAAACAACCCCA
rnacentral:lncRNA from 1 species